rnacentral:rRNA from 1 species
GGUUAAGCGACUAAGCGUACACGGUGGAUGCCCUGGCAGUCAGAGGCGAUGAAGGACGUGCUAAUCUGCGAUAAGCGUCGGUAAGGUGAUAUGAACCGUUAUAACCGGCGAUUUCCGAAUGGGGAAACCCAGUGUGUUUCGACACACUAUCAUUAACUGAAUCCAUAGGUUAAUGAGGCGAACCGGGGGAACUGAAACAUCUAAGUACCCCGAGGAAAAGAAAUCAACCGAGAUUCCCCCAGUAGCGGCGAGCGAACGGGGAGCAGCCCAGAGCCUGAAUCAGUGUGUGUGUUAGUGGAAGCGUCUGGAAAGGCGCGCGAUACAGGGUGACAGCCCCGUACACAAAAAUGCACAUGCUGUGAGCUCGAUGAGUAGGGCGGGACACGUGGUAUCCUGUCUGAAUAUGGGGGGACCAUCCUCCAAGGCUAAAUACUCCUGACUGACCGAUAGUGAACCAGUACCGUGAGGGAAAGGCGAAAAGAACCCCGGCGAGGGGAGUGAAAAAGAACCUGAAACCGUGUACGUACAAGCAGUGGGAGCACGCUUAGGCGUGUGACUGCGUACCUUUUGUAUAAUGGGUCAGCGACUUAUAUUCUGUAGCAAGGUUAACCGAAUAGGGGAGCCGAAGGGAAACCGAGUCUUAACUGGGCGUUAAGUUGCAGGGUAUAGACCCGAAACCCGGUGAUCUAGCCAUGGGCAGGUUGAAGGUUGGGUAACACUAACUGGAGGACCGAACCGACUAAUGUUGAAAAAUUAGCGGAUGACUUGUGGCUGGGGGUGAAAGGCCAAUCAAACCGGGAGAUAGCUGGUUCUCCCCGAAAGCUAUUUAGGUAGCGCCUCGUGAAUUCAUCUCCGGGGGUAGAGCACUGUUUCGGCAAGGGGGUCAUCCCGACUUACCAACCCGAUGCAAACUGCGAAUACCGGAGAAUGUUAUCACGGGAGACACACGGCGGGUGCUAACGUCCGUCGUGAAGAGGGAAACAACCCAGACCGCCAGCUAAGGUCCCAAAGUCAUGGUUAAGUGGGAAACGAUGUGGGAAGGCCCAGACAGCCAGGAUGUUGGCUUAGAAGCAGCCAUCAUUUAAAGAAAGCGUAAUAGCUCACUGGUCGAGUCGGCCUGCGCGGAAGAUGUAACGGGGCUAAACCAUGCACCGAAGCUGCGGCAGCGACGCUUAUGCGUUGUUGGGUAGGGGAGCGUUCUGUAAGCCUGUGAAGGUGUGCUGUGAGGCAUGCUGGAGGUAUCAGAAGUGCGAAUGCUGACAUAAGUAACGAUAAAGCGGGUGAAAAGCCCGCUCGCCGGAAGACCAAGGGUUCCUGUCCAACGUUAAUCGGGGCAGGGUGAGUCGACCCCUAAGGCGAGGCCGAAAGGCGUAGUCGAUGGGAAACAGGUUAAUAUUCCUGUACUUGGUGUUACUGCGAAGGGGGGACGGAGAAGGCUAUGUUGGCCGGGCGACGGUUGUCCCGGUUUAAGCGUGUAGGCUGGUUUUCCAGGCAAAUCCGGAAAAUCAAGGCUGAGGCGUGAUGACGAGGCACUACGGUGCUGAAGCAACAAAUGCCCUGCUUCCAGGAAAAGCCUCUAAGCAUCAGGUAACAUCAAAUCGUACCCCAAACCGACACAGGUGGUCAGGUAGAGAAUACCAAGGCGCUUGAGAGAACUCGGGUGAAGGAACUAGGCAAAAUGGUGCCGUAACUUCGGGAGAAGGCACGCUGAUAUGUAGGUGAGGUCCCUCGCGGAUGGAGCUGAAAUCAGUCGAAGAUACCAGCUGGCUGCAACUGUUUAUUAAAAACACAGCACUGUGCAAACACGAAAGUGGACGUAUACGGUGUGACGCCUGCCCGGUGCCGGAAGGUUAAUUGAUGGGGUUAGCGCAAGCGAAGCUCUUGAUCGAAGCCCCGGUAAACGGCGGCCGUAACUAUAACGGUCCUAAGGUAGCGAAAUUCCUUGUCGGGUAAGUUCCGACCUGCACGAAUGGCGUAAUGAUGGCCAGGCUGUCUCCACCCGAGACUCAGUGAAAUUGAACUCGCUGUGAAGAUGCAGUGUACCCGCGGCAAGACGGAAAGACCCCGUGAACCUUUACUAUAGCUUGACACUGAACAUUGAGCCUUGAUGUGUAGGAUAGGUGGGAGGCUUUGAAGUGUGGACGCCAGUCUGCAUGGAGCCGACCUUGAAAUACCACCCUUUAAUGUUUGAUGUUCUAACGUUGACCCGUAAUCCGGGUUGCGGACAGUGUCUGGUGGGUAGUUUGACUGGGGCGGUCUCCUCCUAAAGAGUAACGGAGGAGCACGAAGGUUGGCUAAUCCUGGUCGGACAUCAGGAGGUUAGUGCAAUGGCAUAAGCCAGCUUGACUGCGAGCGUGACGGCGCGAGCAGGUGCGAAAGCAGGUCAUAGUGAUCCGGUGGUUCUGAAUGGAAGGGCCAUCGCUCAACGGAUAAAAGGUACUCCGGGGAUAACAGGCUGAUACCGCCCAAGAGUUCAUAUCGACGGCGGUGUUUGGCACCUCGAUGUCGGCUCAUCACAUCCUGGGGCUGAAGUAGGUCCCAAGGGUAUGGCUGUUCGCCAUUUAAAGUGGUACGCGAGCUGGGUUUAGAACGUCGUGAGACAGUUCGGUCCCUAUCUGCCGUGGGCGCUGGAGAACUGAGGGGGGCUGCUCCUAGUACGAGAGGACCGGAGUGGACGCAUCACUGGUGUUCGGGUUGUCAUGCCAAUGGCACUGCCCGGUAGCUAAAUGCGGAAGAGAUAAGUGCUGAAAGCAUCUAAGCACGAAACUUGCCCCGAGAUGAGUUCUCCCUGACCCUUUAAGGGUCCUGAAGGAACGUUGAAGACGACGACGUUGAUAGGCCGGGUGUGUAAGCGCAGCGAUGCGUUGAGCUAACCGGUACUAAUGAACCGUGAGGCUUAACCUU